rnacentral:rRNA from 1 species
CGUUAGCGGCGGACGGGUGAGUAACACGUGGGUAACCUACCUAUAAGACUGGGAUAACUUCGGGAAACCGGAGCUAAUACCGGAUAAUAUUUCGAACCGCAUGGUUCGAUAGUGAAAGAUGGUUUUGCUAUCACUUAUAGAUGGACCCGCGCCGUAUUAGCUAGUUGGUAAGGUAACGGCUUACCAAGGCGACGAUACGCAGCCGACCUGAGAGGGUGAUCGGCGACACUGGAACUGAGACACGGUCCAGACUCCUACGGGAGGCAGCAGCC